CCGUGCUAGAUGGGGAGGUAGCGGCGCCCUAUAACCUGCAAUCCGCUAUAGCAGGGUUGAACUCCCAAUGGAGGCUCCCUUAUUGUAGGGUCCGCCCCAGAUAAGUGGCGUUGACGAUUGGGUCCUGCGCAACGGAAACUCAUGAACCUCGUCAGGUCCGGAAGGAAGCAGCGAUAAGUGAAUCUUUUCGUGUGCCGUAGGGUCGCCUGGUCCGAGCUAACUGUUUGAGUAACGCCUGGGAUAAGGUUGUCGAUAUUGGGUGCACGG
rnacentral:SRP_RNA from 1 species